rnacentral:tRNA from 2 species
GCCAAGGUGGCGGAGUGGCUACGCUAUCGCCUGCAGAGCGAUCACAUUCCGGUUCGAAUCCGGACCUUGGCU